AUUGAACGCUGGCGGCAGGCUUAACACAUGCAAGUCGAGCGGGGUGAUGGUGCUUGCACUAUCACUUAGCGGCGGACGGGUGAGUAAUGCUUAGGAAUCUGCCUAUUAGUGGGGGACAACAUCUCGAAAGGGAUGCUAAUACCGCAUACGUCCUACGGGAGAAAGCAGGGGAUCACUUGUGACCUUGCGCUAAUAGAUGAGCCUAAGUCGGAUUAGCUAGUUGGUGGGGUAAAGGCCUACCAAGGCGACGAUCUGUAGCGGGUCUGAGAGGAUGAUCCGCCACACUGGGGCUGAGACACGGCGCAGACUCCUACGGGGGGCAGCAGUGGGGAAUAUUGGACAAUGGGGGGAACCCUGAUCCAGCCAUGCCGCGUGUGUGAAGAAGGCCUUAUGGUUGUAAAGCACUUUAAGCGAGGAGGAGGCUCUUUUGGUUAAUACCCAAGAUGAGUGGACGUUACUCGCAGAAUAAGCACCGGCUAACUCUGUGCCAGCCGCCGCCGUAA
rnacentral:rRNA from 1 species